UACGUAGGUGGCGAGCGUUGUUCGGAUUUACUGGGCGUAAAGGGUCCGCAGGGGGCCUUUCAAGUCUGAUGUGAAAUCCCGAAGCUUAACUUCGGAAUUGCAUUGGAAACUGCUAGGCUAGAGCAUCGGAUAGGAGAGUAGAAUUCCAGGUGUAGCGGUGGAAUGCGUAGAUAUCUGGAAGAACACCAAAGGCGAAGGCAGCUCUCUGGACGAUUGCUGACCCUCAGGGACGAAAGUAUGGGGAG
rnacentral:rRNA from 1 species